CCUACGGGAGGCAGCAGUGGGGAAUAUUGCACAAUGGGGGAAACCCUGAUGCAGCGACGCCGCGUGAGGGAAGAAGUAUCACGGUAUGUAAAGCUCUGUUAGCAGGGAAGAAAAUGACGGUACCUGACUAAGAAGCCCUGGAUAACUACGUGCCAGCAGCCGCGGCAAUACGUAGGGUGCAAGCGUUAUCCGGAUUUACUGGGCGUAAAGGGAGCGUAGAGGGCGCUGCAAGUCCGGAGUGAAAGCCCAUGGCUUAACCAUGGUACUGCUGUGGAAACUGUGGAGCUUGAGUGCGGGAGGGGCAGGCGGAAUGCCUGGUGUAGCGGUGAAAUGCGUAGAUAUUAGGAGGAACACCGGCGGCGAAGGCGGCCUGCUGGACCGUAACUGACGUUGAGGCUCGAAAGCGUGGGGAGCAAACAGGAUUAGAUACCCCUGUAGUC
rnacentral:rRNA from 1 species